GAAUUUGUACUAAUCUGGGUUGAAGUAAUGAUCGUCUCUCCUAUUGGUAGAGCGUACAACGUCAACCAAUAGCAAAGCAUUUUCUAACCCAAGUUGGUGCAAACCCGGUCUGGCCGAGAACACUAUAAGAUUUGAUUAUGAAUAUUGGCCUUUGAUUCUUAGGGCCCUAGUACAGACUCAUACAUAACGCAUCAAGCAUAAGGGAUAAGAAAAUCAUUCAAUCAGAAUCCUUUAUUUUGUGAAAAGGAAGGAAAUAAAAGACUUUGAUUGGUUUUUCUUAUGCAUUAUGUGUUGUGCGUUAUGCAAGAGUCUGUGCUCCCCGUCUUAAACUCAUAAAAAAAAAGUGUCACGACCUUAAUGAGUGCAUUCAAUACCACAACUGCUCACUGAGCGCUCAGUGAGCUCUUGCAUCUGAUUGGCAUAUUCCGUUAGAUCUAAAAAUAUAGACCAAACAGAUACAAGAGGUCAUUGAGUGCUCAGUGGUGAGCGGUAUAGUACUGAAUAGAGAGCCUAUAAUCAGAGUGGCGCCAUGUUUUAGCGAAAUUCUGCGAGAGAGAAAGAGAUAUACGGUCUCAGUCUAUCCAACAGACUGUCAGUUUUAGGGUUAGGUGCAACAGCAUUGAACGACAUAGAUACGUAAAGGAUAUGUUAUGAAAAUAAUUCCGAAAGACACAGAACGUCGAAUGAAUUGGUUAAAGAGUAUAAAUGGCAAAUAUAAAAAUUGGACACCGUCAAAAAAUUCAUCUGUAUGUGAGAUGCAUUUUGCUCCUAAAAU